GCGGGAGUGGCGAAAUUGGCAGACGCACUAGACUUAGGAUCUAGCGGAGCGAUCCGUAGGGGUUCAAGUCCCCUCUCCCGCA
rnacentral:tRNA from 1 species